CACCCACUACCCCUCAUCACUCCCUACAAGAGGCCAGUGCGAGGUGUGGGAGCCCAGCGCUUUAACUGGCAUCAUUCCAGGGCACACUCCAUUAUAGAGCGUGCUUUUGGAAUGAUGAAGACCAGGUUCCGGGCCAUCUUCCUACAAGCGCUGGAGGUUCACCACACCUUCGUACCUCAUGUCAUAACAGCAUGUGCCAUCCUCCACAACAUCUGCCUUGGGGCCGAUGACAUCAUGGCCCCAGAGGAGGAGGAUGAGCCUGAGGACGAUGUAGAGGAGGAUGAGGGGGGCGAUGGUUUGGAGGCAGUCAGUGGUGCUCCCUGGUGGGACCAGCUGUCUGCAGAGGUGUCUGCCCUGGAGGAGGCCCACCCUGACCACCAAUAUAUACAGUGACAAGGCAGCCGUCGAUUCAGUCAGCCCUGCAAACCCAUUCGGGGAAGAUGCGGUGGACAGUGGAGAGAGGCGUCUGCCUCAGGAGACCACCCCUGGAUGUCCCACUGACAGGAGAGACACCAGGGUCUUUAAUGUUGCAGCCUAUCCGGGUCCAGCAGCACCAGCACCAGGGGCUCCCUGCUCUGCUCAAUUCUGUUUUUGUUUUUUAAAUAGUUGUAUUGUAAAUAGUUGCAAAUAGAUGUAAAUAGUUACGUACAUGAAACCAUGUAACUACAGUUGGGGUUUAAGAAAAGUAA
ensembl:lncRNA